rnacentral:rRNA from 1 species
GGAUUUAUUGGGUUUAAAGGGUGCGUAGGUGGGCUUAUAAGUCAGCGGUGAAAUCCCCCGGCUCAACCAGGGAAUUGCCGUUGAUACUGUUAGCCUUGAGUACAGUUGAAGUGGGCGGAAUGUAGCAUGUAGCGGUGAAAUGCAUAGAUAUGCUACAGAACACCAAUAGCGAAGGCAGCUCACUAAGUUGUAACUGACACUAAUGCACGAAAGUGUGGGGAUCAAACAGGAUUAGAUACCCUGGUAGUCCACGCUGUAAACGAUGAUCACUCGUUGUUGGCGAUAUACAGUCAGCGACUGAACGAAAGUAUUAAGUGAUCCACCUGGGGAGUACGAUCGCAAGGUUGAAACUCAAAGGAAUUGACGGGGGCCCGCACAAGCGGUGGAGCAUGUGGUUUAAUUCGAUGAUACGCGAGGAACCUUACC